CCUACGGGAGGCAGCAGUGAGGAAUAUUGGUCAAUGGCCGUAAGGCUGAACCAGCCAAGUAGCGUGAGGGACGACUGUGCCAUGCGUUGUAAACCUCUUUUAUGCGGGGAUAAAGGUGUGCACGAGAGGAUGUUUGCAGGUACCGCAUGAAUAAGGACCGGCUAAUUCCGUGCCAGCAGCCGCGGUAAUACGGAGGGUGCGGGCGUUAUCCGGAUUUAUUGGGUUUAAAGGGUGCGUAGGCGGGUCUUUAAGCGUGCGGUGAAAUUUUGUGGCUCAACCAUGGGCGAGCGGCGAGAACUGGCGACCUUGAGUGCUCGGAAGGCAGGCGGAAUUCGUAGUGUAGCGGUGAAAUGCUUAGAUAUCACGAAGAACCCCGAUUGCGAAGGCAGCCUGCCGCCGCGUUACUGACGCUGAAGCUCGAAAGCGCGGGUAUCGAACAGGAUUAGAUACCCGGGUAGUC
rnacentral:rRNA from 1 species